CACAAGCGGUGGAGUAUGUGGUUAAUUCGAUGCAACGCGAAGAACCUUACCUGGUCUUGACAUCCCGGAGACCCUUAGGAAACUAGGGGGUGCUUCCAUCUGGAAGAAUCUGGAGACAGGUGCUGCAUGGCUGUCGUCAGCUCGUGUCGUGAGAUGUUGGGUUAAGUCCCGCAACGAGCGCAACCCUUGCCUUUAGUUGCCAGCAGUUCGGCUGGGCACUCUAAAGGGACUGCCGGUGUUAAACCGGAGGAAGGUGGGGAUGACGUCAAGUCCUCAUGGCCUUUAUGACCAGGGCUACACACGUACACAAUGGCCGAUACAAAGGGCAGCGACACUGCGAGGUGAAGCCAAUCCCGUAAAAUCGGUCUCAGUCCGGAUUGGAGUCUGCAACUCGACUCCAUGAAGUUGGAAUCGCUAGUAAUCGUGGAUCAGCAUGCCACGGUGAAUACGUUCCCGGGCCUU
rnacentral:rRNA from 1 species